UUGUAGGGGGGCGUGUGUAUGCAGGAGAUGGUUCUUACCCACAUUGACAACGCUCCACUGACAUAGAUGAGGAACUUGGGACCCUUGAGAUGAGCUCACCUGGUAUGCUCCUGGCUUUUUUGGCUCUCGCAUUCCUGAUGUCGUCAGGCUCGAACUCGACCACAACGCCGCCACAUUGGGAGGACUCGGCUCGCUGAGACAUUGCCUGUGGAAGACGGCCUCUUCGUACGACUUUUGAAUGACGCUCACCGAUGCCGGUCAAGUAAGGAUGAAUGGAGGACCACACUCCCAAACUGCCUCCCCUCAAACGCUGACCGAUGGCAAACUCCAGAUGCAGCAGCGGGAUUCCCUCCAGAACCAGCAGGAUUAGAAAGGGAAUCAUAAACGCCCCUGCAGGGAAGAACACUUUUAUCUUUAUUUACAUCCUGUCGUAUAGAGAUGAUGAUAUGGAAUGACUCAAGAGAGCACGUGCGCUUUUACAAGAAUACCAGCCUUUGUACGGACAUCUUAUCUCCCAGUGAGGAUAUACAUUUUGCUGAUUCCGCAGCUUUAUUUAACGCCUCUUGGGAAAAUAAUUUCAGUAAGAUACAUACUGCAAUAACAUGAUAUGGUUCUUUCUUUGUAAUUGCACUUCAGUUGAAAAUUGUUAUUUAUUACUCAAGGCAUAGUUGAAAUAAUUUGAUUGGGCUGUCUUUAUUGGAAAUUUGGUUGAAAGACCUCAGUCGUCAGAAAAUAGGAUGCAAUAUAAUGACGGAAAACGCAAACUAAAAACAUGACAUAACAAAUUAUAUAGGUGUGUCAAAGUUCACUGGAGCUUGUUAAAGACCACAAUUGUGAUAAAAUUGUUCAUCCCUAAGACCUAAACUCAACCAUCUCAAUAAACUAGAAUAUAGUAGGGGGAAAAAAUAUUUUAGCUACUCCAUUUAGAAAGUAGAUUCCCUACACGCAAAAGGAAUUUCAUCAUUUUGUUAGAUUUGACUUAUUGCUUAAUAUAGGC